GUGCUUAACACAUGCAAGUCGAACGGAAAGGCCCUUUCGGGGGUACUCGAGUGGCGAACGGGUGAGUAACACGUGGGUGAUCUGCCCUGCACUUUGGGAUAAGCCUGGGAAACUGGGUCUAAUACCGGAUAUACCUCAUGGGCUGCAUGGUUUGUGAGGGAAAGCUUUUGCGGUGUGGGAUGGGCCCGCGGCCUAUCAGCUUGUUGGUGGGGUGAUGGCCUACCAAGGCGACGACGGGUAGCCGGCCUGAGAGGGUGACCGGCCACACUGGGACUGAGAUACGGCCCAGACUCCUACGGGAGGCAGCAGUGGGGAAUAUUGCACAAUGGGCGCAAGCCUGAUGCAGCGACGCCGCGUGAGGGAUGACGGCCUUCGGGUUGUAAACCUCUUUCAGCAGGGACGAAGCGCAAGUGACGGUACCUGUAGAAGAAGGACCGGCCAACUACGUGCCAGCAGCCGCGGUAAUACGUAGGGUCCGAGCGUUGUCCGGAAUUACUGGGCGUAAAGAGCUCGUAGGUUGUUUGUCGCGUUGUUCGUGAAAUC
rnacentral:rRNA from 1 species